GCGGCAGGCUUAACACAUGCAAGUCGAACGGUAACAGGGAGCUUGCUCCGCUGACGAGUGGCGAACGGGUGAGUAAUGCGUCGGAACGUGCCGAGUAGUGGGGGAUAACGCAUCGAAAGGUGUGCUAAUACCGCAUACGUACAGAGGUAGAAAGGGGGGGACCUUCGGGCCUCCCGCCAUUCGGGCGGCCGACGUCUGAUUAGCUAGUUGGUGAGGUAAAGGCUCACCAAGGCGACGAUCAGUAGCGGGUCUGAGAGGAUGAUCCGCCACACUGGCACUGAGAUACGGGCCAGACUCCUACGGGAGGCAGCAGUAGGGAAUAUUGGGCAAUGGACGCAAGUCUGACCCAGCCAUGCCGCGUGCAGGAUGAAGGCGUUAUGCGUUGUAAACUGCUUUUAUACAGGAAGAAACGACUCUUGCGAGAGGCAUUGACGGUACUGUAUGAAUAAGCACCGGCUAACUCCGUGCCAGCAGCCGCCGUAAGAC
rnacentral:rRNA from 1 species